AUUGAACGCUGGCGGCAGGCCUAACACAUGCAAGUCGAGCGGAUGAAGGGAGCUUGCUCCUGGAUUCAGCGGCGGACGGGUGAGUAAUGCCUAGGAAUCUGCCUGGUAGUGGGGGAUAACGUCCGGAAACGGGCGCUAAUACCGCAUACGUCCUGAGGGAGAAAGUGGGGGAUCUUCGGACCUCACGCUAUCAGAUGAGCCUAGGUCGGAUUAGCUAGUUGGUGGGGUAAAGGCCUACCAAGGCGACGAUCCGUAACUGGUCUGAGAGGAUGAUCAGUCACACGGGAACUGAGACACGGUCCAGACUCCUACGGGAGGCAGCAGUGGGGAAUAUUGGACGAUGGGCGAAAGCCUGAUCCAGCCAUGCCGCGUGUGUGAAGAAGGUCUUCGGAUUGUAAAGCACUUUAAGUUGGGAGGAAGGGCAGUAAGUUAAUACCUUGCUGUUUUGACGGUACCAACAGAAUAAGCACCGGCUAACUUCGUG
rnacentral:rRNA from 1 species